rnacentral:lncRNA from 1 species
GCAGAUUUUGGAGUCACAACAACAAGAACAAAUAAGAAAAGCAUAAAUGAUAUAAAAAAGAAGAUGUGGUAUGAUUGCCAAUGAGACAACUAUCCACAAAAAACCAAAAUGACACAGACAUUAACAACUAUAGGUCACUGUAUGGCCUUCAACAAUGAGCAAAGCCCAUACCACAUAGUCAGCUAUAAAAGGCCCCGAUACGACAAGGUAAAACAAUUCAAACGAGAAAAUUAACGGCCUUAUUUAUGUAAAAAAAAAUGAACGAAAAACAAAUAUGUAACACAUAAACAAACGAC